rnacentral:rRNA from 1 species
ACCGGAUUGCCUCAGUAACGGCGAGUGAAGCGGCAACAGCUCAAAUUUGAAAUCUGGCUCUUYCAGAGUCCGAGUUGUAAUUUGUARAAGAUGCUCCGGGUGCGGCCCCAGUCUAAGUCCCUUGGAAGAGGACGUCAUAGAGGGUGAGAAUCCCGUAUGUGACCAGGUGCCCGCGCCCAUGUAAAGCUCUUYCGACGAGUCGAGUUGUUUGGGAAUGCAGCUCUAAAUGGGUGGUAUAUUCCAUCUAAAGCUAAAUAUUGGCCAGAGACCGAUAGCGCACAAGUAAAGUGAUCGAAAGAUGAAAAGCACUUUGGAAAGAGAGUUAAMCAGUACGUGAAAUUGUUGAAAGGGAAGCGCUUGCAAUCAGACUUGCGUGCCGYCGAUCAYCCCAGGUCCUCCUAGGUGCACUCGGCGGCGCUCAGGCCAGCAUCGGUCCUGGUGGUGGGAUAAAGGCCUUGGAAAUGUAGCUCCUUCCGGGAAGUGUUAUAGCCCUCGGUGCAAUGCCGCCUACCGGGACCGAGGACCGCGCUYCGGCUAGGAUGCUGGCGUAAUGGUUGUAAGCGACCCGUCUUGAAACACGGACCAAGGAGUCUAACAUCUAUGCGAGUGUUUGGGUGUCAACCCAUACGCGUAAUGAAAGUGAACGGAGCUAAGAACCCUUUAGGGUGCAUUAGCGACCGAUCCUGAUGUCUYCGGACGGAUUUGAGUACGAGCAUAGCUGUUGGGACCCGAAAGAUGGUGAACUAUGCCUGAAUAGGGUGAAGCCAGAGGAAACUCUGGUGGAGGCUCGCAGCGGUUCUGACGUGCAAAUCGAUCGUCAAAUUUGGGCAUAGGGGCGAAAGACUAAUCGAACCAUUAAACGCUAGGUGGUCAA